rnacentral:rRNA from 1 species
GACAGAGGUGGCAAACGUUACCCGGAUUCAUUGGGCGUAAAGGGCGUCUAGGCGGUUUGGUGUGUCCUCUGUGAAAACCCCCUGCUUAACGGGGGGAGGCCAGGGGAAACUACCAGACUAGAGGGUCGGAGAGGGAAGCGGAACUACCAGAGGAGCGGUGAAAUGCGUAGAUACUGGUAGGAACCUCGAUAGCGAAGGCAGCUUCCUGGCCGAUACCUGACGCUAAAGCGCGAAAGCGUGGGGAGCAAACCGG